GGAGCGUUAGCUCAGCUGGGAGAGCAUUCGCUUGACGUGUGAAAGGUCACAGGUUCGAGCCCUGUACGCUCCA
rnacentral:tRNA from 1 species